AGCGUUUCCCAAGUUUUCAACCUUGUUCAGGACAAUGGGGCUGCGGCACUUGCCGGUGGUGAACGCCGUGGGAGAGAUCGUUGGGAUCAUCACCCGACACAACCUGACGUACGAAUUCCUGCAGGCCCGGCUGCGGCAGCACUACCAGACCAUCUGAGGCUCGGCCUCAUCCACAGGCCAGCGCCCUCCCGGAGCUUUUGGCGGGGCUGCCCCAGGGCACAGCAGAGCCCGUCACCCCUCGCUCGGAAAGCCUGCAGUCAUCGAACGCUUGCUGGUCUAGAUCCUGGGAUGGUUUGGCCCGUCAGAGUUUGGACUUGUCUGACUUUCUCAUCAAGUACCUUCCUGUUCCCUGCUCCCCGAGCUCCUUCCAUCCAGGUCGGCACAGGCCCCAGCCCCUGCCCCACAAAUGCCAGGACCCGAGAGAGGGGUCAGGCUCGCCGCUAGAGAGUGACACCCAGAGCAGGUUCCUGCCCUUCCGCUGCUUUCGUGGGGGACCCAGCUCUGCCGUAAACCAUGAGGGAGGGAUGUGGCCUCAGCAAACCCCGGGGAAGCGCCAGUUGCAAAGUGAAGUGACUUUACUGGCCCGGGAGCUGGGCACCGAGAGGACGGCCAUAUUCAGGGAGGCCCUCCUCCGCGGCCCCUCAAUCUGCAGCUUCACUGGGGGGAUGCGCUGCUGCCGGGGGGAGCUCAGCUCUGGCCCCUGUGGUUUCAGUCUCCUUAGAACCACCACCCCCAAGAAGCACAAAGCAUUAACCCCACUAAUAAUCCCUGAGCAGUGGAUCUGACCAUGGGGCCAGCUUUCCAUCUGCCCUGGUUUUAACAUUUCAGCUUUCUCUUCAUUUCCCAAGUGACCCACGGUCCCCUGGUGACCCAUUUUUACCCCAUUCGUUCCUGCUCCUUUUCACCUCCACUGAAUCACUAAAAUUUCCCCAUGUUUGCCUGCAUCUUCCUGGCAAAGCCCCGAGGAUCUUGAUGCCCCCCCCCAAGUUAACCAAGAGCAGGCCCCCAAUUUAAGAGCAGGGCCCCUAGAUAAACCGCUCGGCUCUGGAGAACGGUACGGUUACUUCCAAAUGGGAAAGAGUGAGUCUGAGCCAGCGACCACCACAAGGUACGAGAUGCGGCUUGAAAGGCCUGAGUGUGGCGACGAAGUAAAUGCGUGUUCGAGGACGCGGGUGUCCGCACCCCACAGACCCCUGUCACCUCCCACUGCCACCCCCCAAUCGGCUGAGGGGCUCAGCGAUGAAACUCAGGAUGCUUCCUGCUGGGACAUGCCCGAGGCUAUAGCAUCAAACCAGGAAGCCUCCUCUGUGCCAGUGACUCAGCUUCUCCAGGCGCUGGUCCUCUGCACAGGCCCCGAGUGGGCCUUUGGGCGUCGGCAUUUGCUCUCACUGGCCUCCGCUCUCUACACGAUCAUCAGCAUCCUGGGCCUUCAGGAAACCCCAGGCAGGUGGGCCUUGCACUCGAGGUGGCGUUCAUUGGCUUUUCAUUCCCUCGUGUUUUAACCUGGGAGUUGCCUGAGGGCGUCCGGGCCUGGCCCUGGCGGCACUUCUCGCCCUCCGCCUCGAGUUGACUUCGAUGGGAAGACCCUUUCCAGGGGUGGGUGUCAGCCUUUGCUCUGCCCGCCCAGGUCUUGGCUCAACACACUCCAGUGAACAAUCCCACUUAGUGAGGGGCCUUUUCCAGCAGACGGCCCUCCGCCCCAUCUUAUCUCUUCGACCAAAAGUACUUCGAGGUCUGAGUGUGUCAGCUUCCUGGAGGUACUUGAUUUGUGAAACGUGAUGAAACCCCCACUGCAUCGUUCGGGAAAUCACAAGGACCAAAGAGGCCAGCCCUUCUCACCAUGGUGUGAGCCAGCCGCCACUUCGCUUUAAAGAGUGUUCAGAGCUUGACCGCCUUCUUUCCUCCUUUCGUGAAGAAGGGGACCAGGAGCAUGGUGUGACCCCCUCACGGGAACUGGACCCUCUUCCCAGCCCUCCCUGAAAUGGGCCAGGCCGGGUUCUGCAGGGGGUCCGGAGGCCUCUUGUCCUCGGCUGGGUCACCAGGAAAUUGCCCCUCGUGCACAUCGCAUUGCUUUUAAGUCACCAGGCAUUUGUUCCCUUCGGUGUGGCCCAGAGGUAGACGACAGAAUGCAGAUGCCUUCCCCCUGGAGCUGGCUGGACGGCUGCCAGGGAGGCCCGGGCCCCUCGUGAAAGGCGCUUCCUGUCCCCUGUGACGGCCGUCCUCUCCUGGUGCCCAAAGACAGCCAGGCCCACUCGCAGCAGAAUCCUGGAAGCCCGCUCCUCGGAAGUCUGCUGGAAACCUCCAUCUCCAGUCCUCUCCUGGUGCCAGCAGCCCCGUGCCUCCGGGGAUCUGGUCCCUCCAUAGAGGACGGCACAGGGCUCGGGCUUGGCUAGUGGUGACUGUUUGGUCUCAGUGUGGUGGUUCGUGGUCCCCGGCUGUGGUCAGGGGAGAUGGGGGUAGAGUCCCCACGGCUGGAGGACUUGCACUCUGAGAGGUGAUUUGCUCAUGACCUUGCUUAACGAGUGGCUCCGGCCGGAAUGGACAUGGCCUGACCCAGCCGACCACAUGGCAUGUCCGAUGUGAGGUUGCACACCAACACCACCCUGGGUGUCGGGAAAGGCCGGGAGCGGACGGCCCGUGACGUUCGUGUGCGGAUUGCACGCCUCCUGCGGGCCUUGGCCGUUGGGACAGCAGCAGCUUCCUUUUUGUGUUUGCACUGGUUGUUUAUACGUAACCUUAGCUAAUUCCACUGUGUAUAUAAAUUGUAUUUUUUUAAUUUGUAAAAUCCUAUUUUUAUUUGAACUUUUAGAACUUGGAAGUUCUCAUUAUAACCUUACCGCGUCGGAAUAAAACGUCUCCAUCGGUCUCCUUCA